CGGAAAUCCCCGGUGUUGUUUGGCAGUUGAGUGGAACAAGGAAGGCACGGUGGCAGCCCUUGGCUGAGAAUAAGAGAAUCUUUACCUCCGUCAUCACACCCAGAAAGACUUGGACUUACUGAAGCCAAGAGAGGCAAGUUAACAAUGUUAGACCAAAGAGGCCGGGAACAUGGGGUCUGAAACAUCAUGAGCUACACGGGACACAUUUUAUCAGAUUUUGGUUUGGCUGGCACAGAAGUAUGACCACAAGAUGGACCUAAAAUAUGCACAUUUGUAAGAUUUUCCCCCAUGGUGGGAUUCACACCAUCUGCUCCCCGGUUCUCUGAUCCAAUCUGUAUUCAUCACCAGAUUUCCUGGGUUUCUAACUUACAGACAACAAAUUGUGAGACUUCUCAGCCUCCAUAAUCACAUGAACCACCUUCUCUUAAUAAAUAUAUGUAUUUAUGUGCUGGGCUCAGUGGCUGACACCUUUAACACCAGCAAUUCAGGAGGCCGAGGUGGGCGGAUCACCUGAGGUCGGGAUUUAGAGACCAGCUUGACCAACAUGGAGAAACCCCAUCUCUACUAAAAAUACAAAAUUAGCCAGGACUGGUGGCUUAUGCCUGUAAUCCCAGCUAUUUGGGGGGCUGAGGCAGGAGAAUUGC
rnacentral:lncRNA from 1 species